AGAUGAGAGAUACAUCCGCCCACAGGGGACUGUGGGCGGAUCAUCAGGACGAGGCUUCCCCGGCUUCGACCUGGUCGUGCCUCGCGCACACAACCGGAGCCCACGGGCUCCGGCUUCCUCACCGAUCGGA
rnacentral:ncRNA from 15 species